CACGUAGGGGGCGAGCGUUGUCCGGAUUCAUUGGGCGUAAAGGGCGCGCAGGCGGCCCGGAAAGUCGGAUGUGAAAACUCGAGGCUCAACCUCGAGCGUGCACCCGAUACUGCCGGGCUUGAGGCAGGUAAGGGAGAUCGGAAUUCCUGGUGUAGCGGUGAAAUGCGCAGAUAUCAGGAGGAACACCGGUGGCGAAGGCGGAUCUCUGGGCCUGUCCUGACGCUGAGGCGCGAAAGCUAGGGGAGCGAACAGG
rnacentral:rRNA from 1 species